UUCUGCUUUUAGAGCACUGCUGCUGUACACGCCCUGCAGAACCCAUCUUCACUGCACCUGCCUUGCAUACAUAUCAUCCUAAGGACUCAUACACAAUGCCUUCUUCCACCAGAGCUUCUCUUGAUCUGCCUGGUCAGGCAGGCAUUUCCAGAGUAUUCCUUCUGACAUUUUCACUAAUUCAGUUCUAAGGUGUCAGAGUCCCUGCCCUACAUAUUGUGUCAGGAAACAGGCAGCACAAAUCAGGCCUGUCUGAUAGAGUCCUGUACCAGAAGGCAGGUGGCCUCUGGAGAUACAGGCACUGUUUUCACCCUCACAGAGAACAAACCAGCCAACUCAUACACAGCCUCAGUAUCUGUGUAGUUCUAAUUUCAGUUGUCAAUCUGCAGCAGCUGCAAGUGUGGUUUGAUACCUCCCACGUGAUAUUUUUCGGUUUCUUUCUGUCCAGAAGUACUAUGGUGCUGUGGCAGCCAACAAGUGCAAAGAGAAUGAAAUCAAACACUUCUGCAAAUACCAUGGCAAGUCAGCAGAAAGAAAGACAGACUCCACAGAAGAAGAGAGGACUGAAGGUUCCGUAGAACCCCGCCAAGCUCAAACUUGCUGUCAAAGACCCAGAAGACCUUCCAAAGACUUCUACAUUGAAGUUUCUCCUGGUGUCUAUUCUGUCACAGCAAUCUCAGAAGACAUGGUGGAACAAACCCACGUAGUAGAUGUCAAUGCAGGACAAAGUAUUGAUUUAACUUUUGUUCUGUG
rnacentral:lncRNA from 1 species